rnacentral:rRNA from 1 species
UACGUAGGGGGCAAGCGUUGUCCGGAAUCAUUGGGCGUAAAGAGCGUGUAGGCGGUCCGAUAAGUCCGCUCUGAAAGCCCGGGACUCAACCCCGGGAGGCGGGCGGAUACUGUCGGGCUAGAGUCCGGAAGAGGGAAGUGGAAUUCCCGGUGUAGUGGUGAAAUGCGUAGAUAUCGGGAGGAACACCAGUGGCGAAGGCGACUUCCUGGCCUGUUCUUGACGCUGAGGCGCGAAAGCUAGGGGAGCAAACGGG